rnacentral:rRNA from 1 species
UACGAGAGCUCCGAGCGUUAUCCGGAAUUACUGGGCGUAAAGGGUGUGUAGGUGGCGUUAUUAGUCGUUCGUUAAAUCUCCAGGCUCAACUUGGAAACCGCGAACGAAACGGUAAUGCUUGAGGGUAGAAGGGGUGUGCGGAACUCAUGGUGUAGGGGUGAAAUCCGUUGAUAUCAUGGGGAACACCAAAAGCGAAGGCAGCACACUGGUUUACAUCUGACACUGAAACACGAAAGCGUGGGUAGCGAAUGGG